UGGUAAUACCGGAUGCUCCGCUCCAUCGCAUGGUGGGGUGGGAAAUGCUUUUGCGGCAUGGGAUGGGGUCGCGUCCUAUCAGCUUGUUGGCGGGGUGAUGGCCCACCAAGGCGUUGACGGGUAGCCGGCCUGAGAGGGUGACCGGCCACAUUGGGACUGAGAUACGGCCCAGACUCCUACGGGAGGCAGCAGUGGGGAAUAUUGCACAAUGGGCGCAAGCCUGAUGCAGCGACGCCGCGUGCGGGAUGGAGGCCUUCGGGUUGUAAACCGCUUUUGUUCAAGGGCAAGGCACGGUUUCGGCCGUGUUGAGUGGAUUGUUCGAAUAAGCACCGGCUAACUACGUGCCAGCAGCCGCGGUAAUACGUAGGGUGCGAGCGUUAUCCGGAUUUAUUGGGCGUAAAGGGCUCGUAGGCGGUUCGUCGCGUCCGGUGUGAAAGUCCAUCGCCUAACGGUGGAUCUGCGCCGGGUACGGGCGGGCUGGAGUGCGGUAGGGGAGACUGGAAUUCCCGGUGUAACGGUGGAAUGUGUAGAUAUCGGAAAGAACACCA
rnacentral:rRNA from 1 species